rnacentral:lncRNA from 1 species
CAGAAGAUUAAUCUAGUUAUAGUGACCCAGAAGAAUUCUUCAAAUGGGCAAAGAACAGUCUGUACUUAAGCCAUCCCUUCCUGAUAGAUUUUAAUAUGCUCUGAGGGCUGGCGUUGGAUUCAUGUUCCACAUUGCUUCAAAGCACCUCUGAAACCUUCAAAAGGUAACUGUGUGAGGGGUGUAACAUAAACCACAAUCACCACCAGUUCUUUCUCCACAGUUGCAGUCUCAGGACAGCUUUCUCCUCUGUAAAAUCAUUGCUCCCUGGAGAGAAAAAGAUGAAUAAGAUUCUGCUUCUCUCCACGUCCAUCCUUCUCUGCUCCAUCUUGGCGGAGGCUCUCGUCUGUCGUGUUUGCAAAAUCUAUAAACAAGGUCUUGGUUGCACAGUUGGGGAGGCCACCUGUGUUGCUGAAGCUGGCGAACAGUGCAAGACAGUGAAAGUCUUUGAAGAAAAAAUCAGGUAUUUCUUCAGACAAGGAUGCACUUCUCCGAAGGAUAAAUGUGGAUCUACAGUCGAGGACCCCAUGUUUGGUGAUGUGACCACAACUUGCUGUAAUGGAAAGGACUACUGCAACGAUAUCCAAUAAUAAAUACAAAUGAAAUCUGCAUCAAAUGGAUAUCGGCACUAGCACCAAAAUUCAGAUUUGGAAUUCAGAUCUGGAAUUUGGAAUUACAGCUCUUCAGAUUUGGAUUCAGAAUUUUUAAAAAUUGGAAUUUCUAGCUAUUGAGAACUCAGUUACAGUCAAUAUGAAUACUAGCCAUUAUUUUCUCCUUUUAAAAAACACAGGCAAAAUAUUUUUAAAGGAUUCCCCUGUGUCCUCUGACGCUUGAAUAUCAGGAAUUAUUAUUACAGAUAUUCAGAAUGAUCAAAUCUAGAUUCAGAUCUAUUCAGAGCUAUCAGAAUAUGGCAUUAUUUGGUGAAUUCUGAAUAUUUCUGAAUCUGAAUUGUGCAUCCCUAAAUUCAAUGACCAAUGGACAGACUUGACUUCUCUCCCAUGUACAAAGUUCCACAGCCUCUCCAUGUUUAUUCAGAAAAGUUGUACAAGGCAUUGGUGAUGGAAAAGGACAUUUUAUGAAUCAUAUAAUGCCACCCAGAGUAGACCUUUGGUCUAGAUGGGCGGGGGUAGAAAUCCAAUAAAAUAAAUAAAUAAAAAUUUCA